GUUGACCUUUAUGUCCCGUUCCAGCACUCUCGUACUGCUGAUUGAUCCUGUGUGUACAGACCUUCGUCCGUUCUCCGACCAACCCUUUCCUGCAUUUGGGUCCUACUCUCGUUUCCGAUGGGACGUGACAGAAAGUGCAGGAUGAGAUGAUGCAGCCAUUCUCUUCUUCCUCAUUGAACGGUAAAAGCGGGAGUUUCUGCGAAUAGGCUCUCUGCUAAAGCCCACCCUGGAUUCAUCAUCAUCGUCAUCGUCAUAGACCUCCUCAGGUCUGUGUAGAGCCACA